rnacentral:rRNA from 1 species
GGCCUUGCGCUCUUUGAGCGGCCGAUGUCAGAUUAGCUAGUUGGUGAGGUAAAGGCUUACCAAGGCGACGAUCUGUAGCGGGUCUGAGAGGAUGAUCCGCCACACUGGAACUGAGACACGGUCCAGACUCCUACGGGAGGCAGCAGUGGGGAAUUUUGGACAAUGGGGGCAACCCUGAUCCAGCCAUGCCGCGUGAGUGAAGAAGGCCUUCGGGUUGUAAAGCUCUUUCGGCCGGGAAGAAAUCGCAUGGGCCAAUACCCUGUGUGGAUGACGGUACCGGAAUAAGAAGCACCGGCUAACUACGUGCCAGCAGCCGCGGUAAUACGUAGGGUGCGAGCGUUAAUCGGAAUUACUGGGCGUAAAGCGUGCGCAGGCGGUUUUGUAAGACAGGCGUGAAAUCCCCGGGCUUAACCUGGGAACUGCGUUUGUGACUGCAAGGCUAGAGUACGGCAGAGGGGGGUGGAAUUCCACGUGUAGCAGUGAAAUGCGUAGAGAUGUGGAGGAACACCAAUGGCGAAGGCAGCCCCCUGGGUCGAUACUGACGCUCAUGCACGAAAGCGUGGGUAGCAAACAGGAUUAGAUACCCUGGUAGUCCACGCCCUAAACUAUGUCAACUAGGUGUUGGGUGGGUAAAACCAUUUAGUACCGUAGCUAACGCGUGAAGUUGACCGCCUGGGGAGUACGGCCGCAAGGUUAAAACUCAAAGGAAUUGACGGGGACCCGCACAAGCGGUGGAUGAUGUGGAUUAAUUCGAUGCAACGCGAAAAACCUUACCUACCCUUGACAUGCCAGGAACUUGCCAGAGAUGGCUUGGUGCCCGAAAGGGAGCCUGGACACAGGUGCUGCAUGGCUGUCGUCAGCUCGUGUCGUGAGAUGUUGGGUUAAGUCCCGCAACGAGCGCAACCCUUGUCGUUAAUUGCCAUCAUUUAGUUGGGCACUUUAACGAGACUGCCGGUGACAAACCGGAGGAAGGUGGGGAUGACGUCAAGUCCUCAUGGCCCUUAUGGGUAGGGCUUCACACGUCAUACAAUGGUCGGUACAAAGGGUUGCCAAGCCGCGAGGCGGAGCCAAUCCCAGAAAGCCGAUCGUAGUCCGGAUUGCAGGCUGCAACUCGCCUGCAUGAAGUCGGAAUCGCUAGUAAUCGUGGAUCAGCAUGUCACGGUGAAUACGUUCCCGGGUCUUGUACACACCGCCCGUCACACCAUGGGAGCGGGUUCCGCCAGAAGUAGGUAGCCUAACCGCAAGGGGGGCGCUUACCACGGCGGGGUUCGUGU